rnacentral:rRNA from 1 species
UACGGGGGGGGGCAAGCGUUGUUCGGAAUUACUGGGCGUAAAGGGCUCGUAGGUGGCCAACUAAGUCAGACGUGAAAUCCCCUCAGCUUAACUGGGGAACUGCGUCUGAUACUGGAUGGCUUGAGUUCGGGAGAGGGAUGCGGAAUUCCAAGGUGUAGCGGUGAAAUGCGUAGAUAUCUGGAGGAACACCGGUGGCGAAGGCGGCAUCCUGGACCGGCAUUGACGCUGAUGAGCGAAAGCCAGGGGAGCAAACGGG